rnacentral:rRNA from 1 species
UACGUAGGGUGCAAGCGUUGUCCGGAAUUAUUGGGCGUAAAGAGCUCGUAGGCGGCUUGUCGCGUCGGCUGUGAAAACCUGGGGCUCAACCCCGAGCCUGCAGUCGAUACGGGCAGACUAGAGUGCGGUAGGGGAGACUGGAAUUCCUGGUGUAGCGGUGAAAAUGCGCAGAUAUCAGGAGGAACACCGGUGGCGAAGGCGGGUCUCUGGGCCGUAACUGACGCCUGAGGAGCGAAAGCGUGGGGAGCAAACAGGG